GAUGAACGCUGGCGGCGUGCCUAAUACAUGCAAGUCGAGCGAACAGACGAGGAGCUUGCUCCUUUGACGUUAGCGGCGGACGGGUGAGUAACACGUAGGUAACCUACCUAUAAGACUGGGAUAACUUCGGGAAACCGGAGCUAAUACCGGAUAAUAUUUUGAACCGCAUGGUUCGAUAGUGAAAGACGGCUUUGCUGUCACUUAUAGAUGGAUCUGCGCCGUAUUAGCUAGUUGGUAAGGUAACGGCUUACCAAGGCAACGAUACGUAGCCGACCUGAGAGGGUGAUCGGCCACACUGGAACUGAGACACGGUCCAGACUCCUACGGGAGGCAGCAGUAGGGAAUCUUCCGCAAUGGGCGAAAGCCUGACGGAGCAACGCCGCGUGAGUGAUGAAGGUCUUCGGAUCGUAAAACUCUGUUAUUAGGGAAGAACAAACGUGUAAGUAACUGUGCACGUCUUGACGGUACCUAAUCAGAAAGCCACGGCUAACUACGUG
rnacentral:rRNA from 1 species